ACCUAUAUCUAAGCAAUACAAAUUAGAGGUCAAGCUGUCUUCCAUCGCUACUUCCUGAGCAUCUUCGUAAGCAAUUUGGUUGGGCUGCUUUGCCUGCUCGCCAUAGAGACAAUCGUAAAAGUGCUGGCCUUCACAGGACGUUCUUACGUGCCAUCCUCUUCCUACAGGCGAUAUUUGAGCACGAUAAACCAUCUCAGACAGUGGUAUUCUUCGGAUAUCUUUCUAAAAGAAUCAAGUGCCUACAAGUCCAUUCAACUAGUUCGACGAAUGCACACAUCAUCUCAUCUUGAAGCUCAAAAGUCUCAGUUUU